rnacentral:siRNA from 1 species
UACAAGUACAAUGGUUCUCCU